rnacentral:rRNA from 1 species
CGGGUCAAAAAAUAACGCCGUCCGAUCCCUAAUCGGCAUAGUUUAUGGUUAAGACUACGACGGUAUCUGAUCGUCUUCGAUCCCCUAACUUUCGUUCCUGAUUAAUGAAAACAUCCUUGGCAAAUGCUUUCGCAGUAGUUAGUCUUCAAUAAAUCCAAGAAUUUCACCUCUGACAAUUGAAUACUGAUGCCCCCGACUGUCCCUAUUAAUCAUUACGGCGGUCCUAGAAACCAACAAAAUAGAACCACACGUCCUAUUCUAUUAUUCCAUGCUAAUGUAUUCGAGCAUAGGCCUUCUUUAAGCGAUCUAAUUUGUUCAGAGUAAAAGUCCUGGUUCCCCAUCACACCCAGUGAAGGGCAUGAGGUUCUCCAGAAGGAAAGACCCAGCCGAGCCAGUGCACGCGGUGAGGCGGACCGGCCGGCUAGGCCCAAGGUUCAACUACGAGCUUUUUAACCUCAACAACUUUAAUAUACGCUAUUGGAGCUGGAAUUACCGCGGCUGCUGGCACCAGACUUGCCCUCCAAUUGUUCCUCGUUAAGGGAUUUAAAUUGUACUCAUUCCGAUUACAAGACCCGAAAGAGCCCUGUAUCAGUAUUUAUUGUCACUACCUCCCCGUGUCGGGAUUGGGUAAUUUGCGCGCCUGCUGCCUUCCUUGGAUGUAGUAGCCGUUUCUCAGGCUCCUUCUC